CCCGACCGAACGCGCUUGCUCUGUCUGCGGGUUCCUAACCUUGAAGCUAGGCCAGUGAGGGGCGAACAAGACCUGGUCUCUACUCUCGGCCAGUAUAUAUGUUGGCGGGCGUCGGGGGGACGGGGUAGGGAAUCCGCUGUGUGGCUUACAAUAACCAGUCAAACAGAUUGGCUGUUUCACGAACAGAUGGCACUGUGGAAAUUUAUAACUUGUCAGCAAACUACUUUCAGGAGAAAUUUUUCCCAGGUCAUGAGUCUCGGGCUACAGAAGCUUUGUGCUGGGCAGAAGGACAGCGACUCUUUAGUGCUGGGCUCAAUGGCGAGAUUAUGGAGUAUGAUUUACAGGCGUUAAACAUCAAGUAUGCUAUGGAUGCCUUUGGAGGACCUAUUUGGAGCAUGGCUGCCAGCCCCAGUGGCUCUCAACUUUUGGUUGGUUGUGAAGAUGGAUCUGUGAAACUAUUUCAAAUUACCCCAGACAAAAUCCAGUUUGAAAGAAAUUUUGAUCGGCAGAAAAGUCGCAUCCUGAGUCUCAGCUGGCAUCCCUCUGGUACCCACAUUGCAGC
rnacentral:lncRNA from 1 species